GCAUGGCCGCCCGCCAUCAGCUAUGGUUCCGUUGAAUAGUUGGUGUUAGUUGGACAAUCGACAAGGGGGGUCAAGGUAUUUAAUCAAGGUUGCGAUUUGCGAUUACUCAUUGCUGACAGCGCACGUUAAUUAGUCGUGUCUCAGCACCAUUAAAUUCGCGGCAACGAGAUUUGCCACGUAUUUCCGGAACGUCAGACGAUCUUACUGUCCAUUUUUUUUUAUUUUUUUUCUAUAUAAAAAAUUCUUCGCACGGUGUGAGAAGAUACGUAAUUCCCCAUUCCCCCCUCCUCCGUAGUUCCUUUCUUCCACCUGUAGAUGUAAUUUAUCUCUCGAAAGAAUACACCAUUCUUCGCUUUAUCCUUGAACGUAUCCUCGCGUAACUCAAAGUCUGAAGGAAUGAUUCGCGCGCGGAUUUCGCCAAGGAACGAAUAGAGAGCAGCGACAAUAAAAAAAGUUUCACUCUUCGCUGCCGGGUAAGUUUGUAUGAUGGCGAGUGAUCUGUCGAGCGGCUGCACGGAGACGAUCGACAUCCUAGACGAUGAGAAAGAAGAAGGCGAGAUUUCAUUGGAGGAUGUCAGUUCGUCUGAAGAAGGUGGGAUGGGUCACUUGACCAGUAGCUACGUCGUCGGCAGGAUGCGUGCAUGCCCUGAUUGCAAGUCUUGGGGCGACUGUGCUACCUGGUGCAACGCAACGUAUCAUCCUAAGAACCAGAGCAGGAGAGAUCCAGUCAAAGGGAAGGAAAAUCGUCAUCAUGUCAGAGAAACGGGAUUUGCUGCAACAAAGCACAUGGCAUCGACAUUACAAGAGAAAAAUGACGACCUAGUACCAAUCUCCAGUGACAGCGACAUGGAAAUCGUCGGUCUCACGGAUACAUCCAAUCGAUCAAAGGCCAAAGUAAAAAAGAAAAAAAGAAAGAAAAAGGAAUAUGAACCCCUCACUAUCGAUGAAUUGAUUUCUCCGACCUCCAUCGACCUAUCGUCUAUGGCAGAAGGCACGGUGAAAGUAUAUAGGGAAGUAAGUCCAACUCGCAGAUCAAGUGGCAGAUCAAAGAUGAUUUCGAAAUCGCCAAUUCGAAGAUACAGGUCGCCAGCGAUAGCACGAUCGUCGUUUCGAUCUUCUCGAUCUCCGCUAAAUCAUUCCAGAUCUCCAAUACUAAAGAAAUCCCCGCGAAAGGUCAGAUCGCCGAAACGUAGUAUCCGUCGUCACUCACCCGUGAAAGCAACGAAGAGACUGCCGUCGAAGCUGACUUCGUCGCCGUCUACUCGUUCCUAUGUCGACAGACACGGCGAGGUGACGCGAUUGUUGAAAAAGGUGAAGCAUCUGGAUUCCAUAGGAACUCAAGCAUCGGAAGCAUCGAGCGUCAACCGGAGUAAGGAAUCGUCAUCGUUGAAGGAGAAACUAUCGAAUAUACUAAACAGAACCAGUAGCGAAGACCACAUGCACCUCAAACCGGGAAAAUCGAAAGUUGAAACAGUCGACGAUGCCGACGAUGAGGACGAUCUGGCGUUGCUGCGACAAAAGGCAUUAGAGACAAAGCAGAAAAAGUUCAGUAGAUCUUCGGAGCAUUCAGCGGAUGUAGAAUCAGAAAAGAGAUUGGCUGUAAAUAACGAUGACCAGGACGAGGAGGCUUUGCAACUCCGUAUGAUCGCCCUGCGCUCGGCGGUCAUGAAGAAGCAUCAGAAUCGGGUUCAACGUGGUAUUAAGACCAAGAGACCCACCCGUAGUGAAAGUCCAUUUAGUUCAAGUUUUCUCGAUGAUAUACCCGUGCCUAGCGAUGAGUUGUUGAAAUAUGCGUCACCGCCAUGCACUCCGUCACCCGAGAGCAAUCACAUUGAAGACAUGGACUUAGAUACUGACAUCGAAAGAGAAAAAGAGAAGUUGCCAUACUCGCCGACCGACAAGAUCACUGAGAACGUUCCUAUCGACACAGCAUUGCUUGGAAUCGAGCCAUCUGACGUGUCGUUUAUUAACGUAAACGAGAACAUCGGUAGCCCGGUCUUUGACGACGCACAAGAUGAACUUGCAACGAACAGUGUCACAUCCUAUUAUAAUGGAACUUACUUGCCUUACCAGGCACUUCCAAGUAAGCCGCAAUUCUAUGCGCAUUCGCCAUCACAGUACAACAACGAGGUCUUUGAUUCGGAUUUAAAUGAUUUAACCGGAAAAAGUCUCGAAAACCCUCAGAGCAAUGGUGUCGUUUGCGAUCUAAUAGAUGGAAUUUGUUGUCAAGAAAGUACUUAUUCCUUGACGAAUAUGCCAGAUACGCAUGAUCUUCCAGUGUCCAAGGAUCUUCUCACUCCUCCUGUCUCUUCCUAUGGCACUUUCGCUUCUCCUCUUCAGAUGCAACAAAUCGUGGAGCAACCUGCCAAGGAUAGUAUUGUAUUUGUGAAUGUGGAUUCCACAUUUAGAAAUGAUAAACCCGCCUACGAAAUGCAGACAGUUCCUCCAUUUAACUCCGUUGCAAAUGCUCCGACAACGACAUAUGCGGCUAGAUACGCCGAGUCGAUGUCGCCGAAUGAAUCGAUGAUAACGAUCGAUGAUCUUCCAGAGGAAUCUGUAGAUCCAUUGAACUUUCCUAUUGGCGACGACAGAAAUUUACCAGCUAUGGAAUACAUUCCAAAGGAAGCAGCACCAUGUCAAGCUGUAGAUAAAACAUUACAGGAACCUUUAUAUAUGCAAGGUAUCCCAGAGGUUACUAAAGAUAUGAAUAAAAUACCUACGUUAAUCAAUAGAAAGCUGGUACCCGCGCCAAUACUGAAAUCGAAUAAGCGACUGCGAGAACAUUUAAAGAAGCGCGAAACGCUGCAACCAGAGCCAGAGCCGACUUUCAAGAAUGCUGAGAUGCAACCAAUAACCGUUGUCGCCGCAGAUGCGAAUAGCAGCAUCUUUAAACCGAUAAAAUUACAAGUAGUGAAAAAAUCCGCGCCUGCUUUGUCGACGCUCCCUACAUUCGACAAUUCGGUGAACGAAUCUUUAGAUACAUCAGAGGAUCAAAGAGGCUCAUCCAAGGAAGAUCAUGAGAUAGUUGAGCUGGGACAGACUGAUGUCACUACUACAUCGUCAGCGAAUGAAGCUACUCCAGCUCGGAGGAAAAGGAAGAAACGCAGAAGGAAAUACACACGUAGGAGUAUCAUUCUUGAGAAAAAAAAGAAUCGACGUUUGGAUGCUGAUGUAAAUAGAGAUGCAAUUGCGAAUGCGUCUAUUUUAGAUCACAUUGCAACCGAAUCUGAUCAGAGCAAGAGCAAUGAUAACGUUAAUACGCAGAAGAUUUUAAUAGAAAAUGAAGAAUCGUCGAGAUUGGAAAGUAUCACUGAUAUGCAGGAGUCUAUCAACUCCGGUGAUGUUAUGAUUGAAAAGAGAGACGUGGAGAAGGACAAUCACACAAUACCCUUAACAUUCGAAUAUUCGCAAGAAGAACACAUUGAAUCCCAUUGUUUGUCAACAAAUCCCGCACCAGACAAUUCCAAUUCUGGCAUAGUUAGCAAAGCCAUCGAUACGGCUAAAAACGUUAGUAGGAGACAAAGCGUUGAUGAGGAUGAGGACGAAUUGCGUGCCAUCUUAUUGGCUUCUUUAAAACGAACGAAAUCAGCAGAUAUCAACAAUGCUCCAAUUGCUCCAACUAUUCCGGUUACAAACUCUGUUGUAACGAAUGUCCAGACAUCUGCAUUAAAUCAAAUAUUGGCAGAUACCAUGCCAUCUACGGUUAACACAACGUGCACAGUGAGCAACAAUGUUCCGUUAUUACCGUCGAAGCCGUUGCCAUCGAAGCCGUUGCCAUCGAAGCCGUUGUCGUCGAAGCCGUCGCUGUCGAAGCCGUCGCCGUCGAAGCCGUCGCAGUCGAAGCCAUCGCCGUCGAAGCCGUCGCAGUCGAAGCCGUCGCCGUCGAAGCCGUCGCCGACGAAGCCAUUGUCGGCGAAGCCAUUAUUGUCGAAACCAUUAUCGUCGAAGCCUUUAUCGGAAAAUAUAAAGAAGAAAAUUAAUGACGCAUCUAUCUCUGUGCAAAAUGGUAGCAGAAAAAGAAGCACCAGCCUAGACACGGUAAAGAGUCCUCCGAAAAAAAUAACGAGAAAGGCACUCACGAGCACGAAGGUGGUAAACAACGCUAAGAAAUAUCAAAAUAUGAUUGUGCAGAGGAAAUUAAAUCUACGAAAGAUUGAUAACAAUGCGAAGCCUACUGAAAACGCAUGGUCCAACGCUAACGCUUCAAAAAUAUCGUUGCACGCAUCUGACACUCAACGAUUUGUGAUAAGUUUGGGUUCCGAUACGGAUACCGAGUCCGAAGGCGAGAAAAACGAGUCUGUUUCUGUCGCGGAGAAGCAUCAGGAGAUCCCCGCCGAUUUUGAAAAGAACUUGAGUAAAUUUCUACGUGAGGUGAGAAACGAACAAGAACAGUCUGCAGCAGCCGCAGCGAAGUCAUCCAGUUCGUCCACGCAAGCGACAAAGCGAGAUGUGCUACAGACGGCUAACGGUUCAUCUAAUAUGCACACGCCACUGGCCGUGAGGCAUCUUCCUGCGUCACAGCAAGAGGAGUAUCGUCGUUUGAAGCAGGAAAUCUUGGAGCGCGAAAAGUUGAAACUGCAGAGAAAGGUAGCAAGUAAUAAUAGUAGUAAUGGUAGUAAUAGCAGUAAUAAAUUAUUAAACACUAACGUAGCAAGCUCACCAAUAAAAUCUUUGACACCGUGCGAAAAUAAAACGCAUGUUAAACAGAAUCAGGAUAAUUUAAAAACGCCAGAGAGGAAUCCUCAAGAAUCAUCAACAGAAGUUGGAAGGAAAAACGACGACGUGACGAGAGACACGUCAGAAUUAAACGUAUGUCGCAAGUCUGCUGACAAAAAACUUUCAAUGAAUAUUGCUAAACAUACUAAUUCCACGCAUUUGCAAACUAAAAACUGUAAGAAAGCGAUACCGAAUGAUCUCAGCAUUCGAAUUACUAACGUUACCGCUUCAAGUCACGCCAACGAUAGAACGGUCGAGAAUUUGCAUGAGAAGCAAUCCGUGACAGACACACAGCAGCAUAGAUCUGCUUUGAGAACGUUAAGCACAGACGAAAUAAAUCGUAAAUACGUGCAAGUAAUGUUGAAACCGAACGCAAUUGAGCGAGUCGUCACUAUAAACGACAAAUCAAUUUUACAACAUGACAUGACAAUAAGCGUCGGUCAAAGUGAAAAUCUGAUCGAGCCUGAUGUCAAUACAGAAAAUCUAGUCGAGAAAAAUCUAAAUGAUAUAGAUAGUAACAGUAGUACUUUUUCUACUGCAUCUACUGUAAAACUUCCAAAUUCAUUUACGAUUUCGAGUGAGCACGAGGAGACGAUGGAAACCACAAUAUCACUUUCCCAAUAUAAGGCAGAAUGCCAGCGAGAAAUUAAUCGUGAUAGUUCAACGUCUGUACUUGUAGACAAUAAUAAUAGCAACAAUAGCUCUCAUAAAUCUGACUCAGUUGCUGACGAUAAUGGUACUACGAAUGAUAUUUGGGACACACUUAAAAAGGAUGUUAAAGCAGAAGUGGAUUCCCUGACGAAUCUUCCAGAAUCGGCGCAAGAGCGAUACUUGAGAGAAACUGAGCAUAAAUUAGUUAUAAAACGGUAUAUGAUCUUAGAUCAUUUAGCAGAAAUGUCAGGAAAUCUUCGUCAAUGGGAUAUGGAGAAGGAAGUACAAACUACCCUGGCCAACGAAGUGAAAAAACUUAAAGAACAGUUGAAGAUAGCCGAGGAAAGGUUACAGCAGCAGCGCGAUCGCGUUAGUAGCAUGGGCCCAAAGGUUUCAACAGCACGUCAAAAGAUCAAUGCUGGACGACGUGAGUGCUUCAAACUGUCCAGAAUUUGUUCGACCCUAGGUAACCGACUCAUGGAGAAAAAUUACAAGUUGCCAGAGGCGGUAGAUCAACUUUUAAGUGAUAAACUCAAGGAGGUUGCUAAUCAUACGCGUCAGUUUACCAAGAAGAAGCGACUUCAAACUAACGAUAUUUCUGAAAAUUCCUAUUCUAGUACUUUACAAGAAACCUCAGAAUCAUCUAAGGAUACAUGCAUUGAGGAAAAUUUGUCGCAAGAACAGCCAAUGAAUGACGAAGUUGUGAUCGUUGAGAUGAGAUCAAAGAGAGAUACUCACUUGACGCAAUCUAAUCAAAAUAAGAGUUUAUCGACGGAAAUCUCACUGGAUUUCUCGCAAGUGAUUCCAUGCCAAUCAACAUCAGAAAGGAGAGAAGAAACUUCAGCAAAUGCAUCGAAUCAUCGUAACGAAGAACAAGUCACAUCCCUUAACCAAGAUAAUGCAUUAUCUUCUGAACCAAAGUUAUACCAAAGUAGUCCUAUAGAGCAAAAUAACGAGCAUACAGAAGAAAGUAGAACGGACAAGUCUGAUCCCGCCGCAUCUUUAGAACUAAAGUCAUUAGCGACUGCUUCCUCAAGUUCAGAACACAAUGAACAGACUAACGAAAAAGCCUCGCCGCAACUGCCAUCGCCGACAACAAUAACGACGACGACAAAUACAACAACGAUAUAUACAACAACGACGACGAAGCAGAUUGCACCUUAUGUAUCGAUAUUGACACAUUUAAAGAAACCAAGGAACAUCAACCCCCAUGGAAUUCUGUGUCCGUACGAAAUGAUGGGCAUUUGCAGGGACGAGGAUUGUCGAUACAUUCACCAGUCGAGGAAUCAAACCUGAAAUAAUACAUUACAUACUACCGAACAUAUUCAACAUGACGUAAGGUGGUCUAAUUUCUCGCCAAAUGUGUCAAUGUGGAUCACACACUUUAUAAUAUAUUAACAGCGUUUCAAUUCGUAUCAUCGAUUAUACUCUAGGAAAUAGAUAUAUCGAUAUAGGCAGCGAUAUAGGUUGCGAUGUUAUGCAGAACCAACACCCGAAGAUCGGUAAGUUGUCUUCAUCCAUGGCAGGCUCUAGUGCACAAUACUGAAAUUAUCAUUUUGUUUCGCAAAAAUCUUACAUUUUUACGUAAGAUCUCUAUUUUAAAAAGUUGUGCUACUACGGGAUCUCGAGAGGUAUCCGUAUUUUAUUGAAAGUUCAAAUAAAAUUUCUACCAGUGUAUAUUUUUUACAAUUAUAACAAAAAAAAAGUGUUUAAACUGCAAGAUCAACCAGUGUGGUAAAAAUAAAUAGAAGAAGAAUCUAUCGACCAUACUGAAAAAAAGAAGAGUUAAGAUUAAAAGAAGAGAAGUCCAGCAAUUACGGAUCG